GAACAUGAACAGAAACAGCCCAGGCAUUGUGACAAAGUGCGAAAAGUUCAUUCAUGGUUUUUCUGCUUGGAGGAGAUUCGAAGGAUUGGGGUUGCUGCAUCCUCCACGAUUUGAAUUUCUUCUCCGUCUUCCCCUUAGCAAAGUGUUUUCAUUCCCAUCACAAGAAAAGCGAAUGUUCUCUGCUUCCCUGCAUUGGCCCAGACCAUGAGGAUUUAGCUUGCUUGAAGUCAAAACAGCAGUUGACUUGUGUAAGCAUCCCUGAAGCCCGUUGUAAAAAGGCUCUGGCCCUUCCACAUUUUCCUCCUCAAUGGCAUAGCAGUUGGUAGGUGGGAAGGACUCGUCCCUGAAGACUGUGAGAAGACAUGUAUACAGUUUUAUGAAAGUGUCUUUUAUUAUUGAGUGGCGGGGGAUGUACUAAAACUUGCCAGAAAUGAAGAGAUCAGCCAUUCCUCUGUCUCUGUGCUUCUAAAUGCUGAAAAUAUGGCCCCUCAAGUGUCAGCAGACUGUCAUUAUGUCUCAUUAUUCAAGAUUCAAGAUCCUGAGUAUCAUUUUCCUGCAGAAGAAUGGGAAUCAACUGACUUAUGCCUCCUCAGAGCCAGAGACUUGGGUGGACUCCAGAGUAAAAUAUUUGCAUACACACAUGGGACACAAAAGGAGAAGGCUGACUACAUAUGAGGAGACUAUGGUCUAAUGAAUUCAGAAAGAGUGGGCCUUGAGAAGAGCCGACUGAGUUGCUCACAGAGUGGAAAGACGCAACUGAGUGUGGCAAAAGAGGAGGAAUUUCCGAGCCGAGUCACAUCAAAGAAUGUUUGAGGAUGAUUUAGCACUUGGAACACUUCAAAAAGUGUGACGUGAGCUGUUCUUUUCACCCCAGCCUCAAACGUACAUCCAAUAUUCUUGGAUAAGCUUUCAUAUGCAAAGCAAAAAAAAGGAAAAGUGGCUUUCCCAUUAAAUGCAUUGUUAUUCUUUGCCUUUCAUACAUCUGGGGCCUGAAAGUACAGAAGGGAGAGAAAUGGAAUGUCAAAGAUUUGCCUGUCUUUUAUUUUAAAUUUUUUUUUCAUGGAUCCAAAGUUCUUGUUAACCCUCUGACACUCAAACGUAGGUUGUGACUGUUAAAGACUAUGGUUACAAAUGCUUGUCUUGUUCUUUCACUGAACAAAUUUGCUGAUUAUUUGACCGUGGUUUGCAAUUCUUUAAAAGAAUGAAUGAGCAUGGUAAACACUUGAAUGAAGGUAUCUGAAUAAAGUGCCCCUCAGGAUGGCUAAGACUAUAAGCUUGCAAUGGUUUGCUGAACAGACGCAUAGGAAGGAGUCCCUGCUUGUCCUUCGAAGUUCACUGGCGUGCCUCUAUCACACUGAAGACAUUUGACAGCUGAAAUGUGACAUGCAAUUAUUUCCUUUCUUCCUUUCCUUAAAAAAAAUUGUGGUUGAAAUCUAUCAUUCUAUGUCUUGACCUUGUAGAGAAUACAUUAAAUGCAUAAACCUUGAACAGAAGGUGGCGCUCCAAAUAAACCAAGCAAGAUUGUGAGACUCUG